rnacentral:rRNA from 1 species
AUUGAACGCUGGCGGCAGGCCUAACACAUGCAAGUCGAGCGGAGCGGCGGACGGGUGAGUAAUGGCUAGGAAUCUGCCUGGUAGCGGGGGAUAACGUCCGGAAACGGGCGCUAAUCCCGCAUACUAUCAGAUACGCGGAGGUCGGAGUAGCUAGUUGGUGGGGUAAAGGCCUACCAAGGCGACGAUCCGUAACUGGUCUGAGAGGAUGAUCAGCCACACUGGAACUGAGACACGGUCCAGACUCCUACGGGAGGCAGCAGUGGGGAAUAUUGGACAAUGGGCGAAAGCCUGAUCCAGCCAUGCCGCGUGUGUGAAGAAGGUUUUCGGAUUGUAAAGCACUUUAAGUUGGGAGGCGUUACCAACAGAAUAAGCACCGGCUAACUUCGUGCCAGCAGCCGCGGUAAUUC